rnacentral:rRNA from 1 species
GAUGAACGCUAGCGGCAGGCUUAAUACAUGCAAGUCGAGGGGCAGCAAUGUCACCGGCGCACGGGUGCGUAACGCGUAUGCAACCUACCUUAUACUGGGAGAUAGCCCGGAGAAAUUCGGAUUAAUACCCCAUAGUAUUAUUGGAUCGCAUGGUUUGAUAAUUAAAGGUUACGGUAUAAGAUGGGCAUGCGUCCCAUUAGCUAGAUGGUGAGGUAACGGCUCACCAUGGCGACGAUAGGUAGGGGCCUGAGAGGGUGGUCCCCCACACUGGUACUGAGACACGGACCAGACUCCUACGGGAGGCAGCAGUAGGGAAUAUUGGGCAAUGGAGGCAACUCUGACCCAGCCA